GUCUUUGCCAUCACAGGGAUCCCAGAGGAUCGAAGAGGAUCUGCCUCUGCCAUUUGCAGCUGCUUUGCUGCCCAGACCUCCUCGAGAGACCCCGGCCAUCUCCCAAACCAGCCUUUCUGACCUUCUCUGUCUCGUCAGCCCCCUUCAAGCCCUUCAUACACAAAUGCACAUCGGAGUUGGGGAUACUGAGGAGUGUCUAUUUUUUUGAGGGAUCCUAAAAAGCAGUAGCAGCCAGAAAAGCAGCUCUGUGCUCCCCCUGUCCCAAUGUGCUGCAGCCGUACCAGGAAAGCUGAGGAUGCUCCUUAGCAGCUGGAGUCCAGUGAGCAGAGCAGUGACCAGGCAUCAAAACGACGCCCAGCCUGCCUGAAGCAAUCUUCUCCCUGAAAUAAGAAUCCUUCACCCAGUGGACAAGAGAAAGCUUUGGGUGAAAAGGUUACGGUCAAGAAGUGAUUUGUUAAUUAAUUGGUGCUGCCUCCUGGGACACAGGGAAUGGAGCCCUCAUUCUGUUAUCACAAUGCCUGGAACUGAGGAUUGCAAGAACGCUAGAUAACACCGUAUCUUGUGUAUCUUAGGCUGUUCCACGUGUAUAACAGGAAAGUCAAAUGGCUUUAGUACAAACUCUUGCCUUCCGUGAAAGAGAAGAGAGGAGGAGCUCCAGCAACCUGCCCUCGCUUCCCUCCGUGUGUGAUGCCAGCUGUGAGUGUUUCUUUGGCAGUGUCUUAGCUGGUUGUUGUGAACAAUAGUCAAGGAAGCAAUCAGCAAGUAUACUGCCCUAGAAGUGCUGCACAUUGUUGGGCCUGCCUCAUCUCCCUGGCUCAAGAGGUGGCUGGGGAUCCAGGUCGGGAUGCUGCCCGGGCGUACGGUGUUUGGCUGGAGCUUGGGGUGGCUGAUGGAGCAGAGCCCCAACGUGAGAAAUGCCACGUGGUGCUUGAUGAUGUGGUCACUGCCUCAGAGAUGAGAGGGAGAAAAGAGAAGAUAAACGUGUUGCAAGUUGCUUUGCUCUUUCUUUGUCCUUCCCACAUACAUCUUCCUGAGAGUAAAAUACCACCUUGUUAGUAACACUACAAAAAUGCAACAUUAGAAAGGGCCUGCUUUUAGGAAGAAUUCAUCCAAACCUCAGUCUCAGGAGCUAACUUGACUUUAAACCUAGCAUGGGAGCAACUUGCCUGUAAUCACUGUUUCUCCUGGGUGCUGGUCAGCAGGUAUGCAUUGCACAUAAACUCAGGUGCCCAAAAAUGUUGCUGAUCUUUCUGGGGAAGAAUUAAUUAGGUUUUAAUUAUCAAUGAGACGUUACUACUUGCAUUGUCUGGAUAAAAGGGAGGCGAAGAGGGUUUAUGGAAAGGACAAACCUGUGUUAUGGGAUUGUUCCAAGGGAGGAAAUGCAAGAGCACCCAACCUUGGAAGAAGGAAAAGCCUUGCCUAAAUCUUGUUUAAGCUUCCAGUACUCCCACAGAGGAUAAGAGCUUACAUUAAUUGUGAUCAAACCAAGUUGGUUUGUCUUUUCUCUAUGGCCUCCACUGACUUGGCAUGAGCUGGGUGUCAUAAUCCAGGGACACUGGAGCUCCACCCCUCUUCAAAAAGCUAGCUCGGACUUUGGUUGCCCACACUUCUCUAUGCCUUUCUUUUUUCCCCAGACACGAACAUACUUGCACCAAUUACAGGGAGUUGUGAAACUCAAUGAACUGGCUAUAAAGAAAGUUCUGCCCUCAGAAGGCAAUGGGUGGCCAGAAGGGAGCAUGGUAUCCUCCUCUUCCAAAUCUCCUGAAACUUCAUGUCUGCCUUUGCAGGGUAUUUGUCACGAGACAGAUGUGUUAAGCUUGUACAUCCGCUUUUAAUACUGAUAAAAUACUACUUUUCUAUGGA